ACACCUGCUAGCUUGGGUUGACCUGUAGUUCAGUCUCAUUUGUUGUAAUUGGUCAUUUGUAGCGACAUUUUAACUCGGCGAAGAAUGAUGUAAUGAUACAGGAGGGACACUAGAACUGUUUACUUUAAGGUUUAAAGUCUAUUAAAAGUCUUUAAAUGGUCUAGGAAGUGUCAUCUAGAAUCACAAAUUACGAUUGAAGGAGAGCUAACGGCAGUUCCUGAAAAUGGAUCCUUCUCUUCAAAACACGCCGUCUCCUGUCUUUCCCUGAGCGAUGUGCUCGGCGCCUGAGGACUCAGUCCUACCUGUGAUUCAAGUGCACAGCUGUCCCACCUGACAAUUAUAAAUGGUGUCUCCUUACACUGGCAUCAUUGAAAUCACAGGAGAGCAUGAUAAAUGGUGAAGGAGGUGUACUGAAUAAUACAUGACCCCUGUUUGGCCUUCCUUGAAAAUAAACCAGAAACAACAACAUCGCCAACCACCAAUAGAUGGCAGCACUAUACAAAGGUCAACAAAACUGUGGUGAAAAGUUGAUGGGGCAGGCGAUGAAGACGGGUCUUUAUUGAGGAGAACAAUAGUGAGGAGUUACAGCAGAAGAGACCUCCAAAGUAUGCGCAGUACAUGCAGAACUGCAACAAAGGUCAGGUAUGCAAAUCCCAUUGAGGAGUACACACUGUCUUAGAUAAGUGUUUCUCAAUGGGUUUUGCUUCCGCACACUGGACAUCACAGAAGCUGCCAAAAUCAUUACAAACAAACAUUUUGCUAUUAUUUACAAUAAAUGGUUUGUUGGAUCUUGGAUUUAACAUGCUUUUCACCUGUAUCCACAAUCUUAUUUGAACAUAUUUACUACCCAUUUUUGGAAAACGCCUUUUUAGAUAAUAUGAAUUAUUGCAUUUUUCUUUAUUUAGAAAAAUAACCAACAAAGAUUAAAUACCAUUCAUAUUCAUUUCAUAUUUAAGUUACAUUAAUAUAUGUUCUACAUCAUCAUAUGAAUAUUGGUUUAAUAUGUGGAUGUGCCUCUGAACAUAUUUCAGCCCCACUACAGAAAAACUAGAUAGAUAGAUAGAUUGACAUACCACGGUCUGUCUGAAUACUCGAUUCUGAGUGGCUGGAAAGUGUGUAAUAAAACCGUUUAAGGCACAGGUAGUUGGUCACUGAACCACUGAAUUGAAUAACACAAAAUUGGUAUUAUUUUAAAACUUUUUUUAAAAUUUUGAUCAACUCUUAAAGAGUGCUGAGUAGUCCCUCUAAAACUGAGUGCACUCAUGGGCGCCACCUAGCUACGAAAAGAAUAAUGAUCAUAUUUUUCAAAACUACUUCAUUGAUCUACACAAAAUCGGUGUCAUAUGAAAGCUUAGAAUCUGAACUUUACAACGCAUGUAGCCUAAUUGAUUGACUCCCAAGUAGUGCUGAGUUAUUUGCUGAUAAAAAAAAAAAUGUUUUCAUAAUUUAUGAAAUACUUUUUUGUACUAUGUAAUAUGUCAAAAA